AUCUUCUUGUCCUCCUGCCAAUAUCAUCAAGAUCUUGGCUUUUAAAAAUCUCGCAUAUAACUCAAUACUUCAUAUCCAUUUGCGGCCUAAAAAUAAUAGGGCAACUGGGCAAGUAUUAGACAGUAAUCAGGGUUUUUUAUUUGAUGACAAUGGGAUAUUUUACCCACCCGUAGAUCCAACCUCAAUAUAUAGUUUGGGUCAAGUUAGGGUGGUAAAUGACACACCUUUUGUUCAAACUUUUAUGCGCAGUAUUUGCUCAAUGACUUAGUAUUCUAUUCUUAAAUCUUUGCAAUGUAGUUCAGUCUUAUUCUAUUCUUAAACUACCAUUGCCAAAAAUUAAGUUGUAUCCACCCAACGCAUGUUUCUAUUAGUUCUAGUACUCUAAUUACUUGAAAAUAAAAGUGACGACAUGCAGAAUGACUCAAAUUUGUCCAGGAAAGUUAGAGGUUCAUGCAUCAAUAUUGUUGAGCUCUUUUAAGGGGAUGUGUUGCUGGAAAUUGGACCCGGGGGCCGCCGCGAAGCCGGGGAAGGCGAAGCUCCGCUGCUACAGGGGGCGGACGGCGGUGCGCCGGUCGGCUGCGUCCUCCACUGGUGGGGCUCCGGAUCUGCAAGGAAAACCGGUGGCCGGGCUCCCCGGCGCCGGCCCUCCGAUGCUUAAGUCAGAGGGGGCAAAUAUGUGGAGAGGGUAGGAGGAGAGAGAGUGUAUGCACAGAAUAUUUUGUUAAGAUGAAGGAAAGAUAAAAGCUUUGAUGUCAUCAAUUGUGUCUAUGCUAUUUACUUCAAGUGUUUCCCUCCUCCCCCCAUCUUUCCCCCCAGGCUCCCCUUUUAUAGUGGGGUUUUGCGUUA
rnacentral:lncRNA from 1 species